rnacentral:rRNA from 1 species
UAAGAACCUCACCUUUCUUGAUAUGAAGGUUGAGGUUAUGAUAUAUUGUGCCCAGUGGGCCACUUUUGGUAAGCAGAACUGGCGCUGUGGGAUGAACCAAACGUAAUGUUACGGUGCCAAAAUUAACAACUCAUACAGAUACCAUGAAAGGCGUUGGUUGCUUAAAACAGCAGGACGGUGGACAUGGAAGUCGUAAUCCGCUAAGGAGUGUGUAACAACUCACCUGCCGAAGCAACUAGCCCUUAAAAUGGAUGGCGCUUAAGUUGUAUACCUAUACAUUACCGCUAAAGUAAAUGAUUUAUAUUCAAUUACGAUUGAAUUUAAUAAAUUUUGAAACUUUAGUGAGUAGGAGGGUAUAAUGGUGUGCAUAGAAGUGUUUGGCGUAAGCCUGCAUGGAGCCGCUAUUAGUACAGAUCUUGGUGGUAGUAGCAAAUAAUCGAAUGAGAUCUUGGAGGACUGAAGUGGAGAAGGGUUUCGUGUGAACAGUGGUUGAUCACGAGUUAGUCGGUCCUAAGUUUAAUGCGAAAGCUGAAUAUUUUCAAAGUUUUCUUAUAAUAAAAUAAUUUUAAUACACUUUGAUUAAUAUAUUUAAACGAAAGUUUCGUGUGAACAGUGGUUGAUCACGAGUUAGUCGGUCCUAAGUUUAAUGCGAAAGCUGAAUAUUUUCAAAGUUUUCUUAUAAUAAAAUAAUUUUAAUACACUUUGAUUAAUAUAUUUAAACGAAAGGGAAUACGGUUCCAAUUCCGUAACCUGUUGAGUAUCCGUUUGUUAUUAAAAAUGGGCCUUGUGCUCAUCCUGGUAACAGGAACGACCAUAAAGAAGCCGUCGAGAGAUAUCGGAAGAGUUUUCUUUUCUGUUUUAUAAUCGUACUACCAUGGAAGUCUUUCGAAGAGAGAUAUGGUAGAUGGAUUAGAAGAGCAUGACAUUUACUGUUGUGUCGAUAUUAUCUCCUCGGACCUUGAAAAUUUAUGGUGGGGUCACGCAAAUUUCUUAACAGGCCGUACCGAUAUCCGCAGCUGGUCUCCAAGGUGAAGAGUCUCUAGUCGAUAGAAUAAUGUAGGUAAGGGAAGUCGGCAAAUUAUUUAAGGAGUUUUUAACAAGAGGUGUCAGAAAAGUUACCACAGGGGUAACUGGCUUGUGGCGGCCAAGCGUUCAUAGCGACGUCGCUUUUUGAUCCUUCGAUGUCGGCUCUCCCUAUCAUUGUGAAGCAAAAUUCACCAAGCGUUGGAUUGUUCACCCAUGCAAGGGAACGUGAGCUGGGUUUAGACCGUCGUGAGACAGGUUAGUUUUACCCUACUAAUGACAUUAUGUUAUUGCGACAGCAUUCCUGCGUAGUACGAGAGGAACCGCAGGUACGGACCAAUGGUACAAUACUUGUUCGAGCGAACAGUGGUAUGAUACUACGUCCGUUGGAUUAUGCCUGAACGCCUCUAAGGUCGUAUCCGCGCUGGACUGUAAUGAUAAAUAUGGGGCAAUUGCAUUGUAUGGCUUCUAAAUUAUUUUUUAAGUUUUAUAAGUAAUUAUAGAACGACGCAAAUAAUUAUAUGUGACGCCAAUGUUAUAUGUAAUACAGCUAAUGCAAGAGGAUUAAAUAUCACUUGCAUGUUAUGCUUUAUAAUUACACAUAUUUUAAAACAUUAUUUAAUACAAUGACAAUGCCUAGAAUCAAUUGUAAACGACUUUGGUAACGGGCAAGGUGUUGUAAG